UAGUCCACGCCGUAAACGAUGAUUACUCGGUAUUGGCGAUAUAAUGUCAGUGUCUAAGCGAAAGUGAUAAGUAAUCCACCUGGGGAGUACGUUGGCAACAAUGAAACUCAAAGGAAUUGACGGGGGCCCGCACAAGCGGUGGAGCAUGUGGUUUAAUUCGAUGAUACGCGAGGAACCUUACCAGGGCUUAAAUGCAUAACGACAGAUCUGGAAACAGAUCCUUCUUCGGACGGAAUGCAAGGUGCUGCAUGGUUGUCGUCAGCUCGUGCCGUGAGGUGUCAGGUUAAGUCCUAUAACGAGCGCAACCCCUACUGUUAGUUGCCAGCAUGUAAUGAUGGGGACUCUAGCAGAACUGCCGGUGUAAGCCGCGAGGAAGGUGGGGAUGACGUCAAAUCAUCACGGCCCUUACGUCCUGGGCUACACACGUGCUACAAUGGCAUGGACAAAGAGCAGCCACCUGGUGACAGGGAGCUAAUCUCAAAACCAU
rnacentral:rRNA from 1 species